rnacentral:tRNA from 1 species
GUGGCUAUGGUGUCAGAUCCGUAAGCUGGUGGUUCUGGGUUCGAAUCCCGGUAGCCACA